rnacentral:rRNA from 1 species
CGGACGGGUGAGUAACACGUGGGUAACCUACCUAUAAGACUGGGACAACUUCGGGAAACUGGAGCUAAUACCGGAUAAGAUAUCGAACCGCAUGGUUCGAUAGUGAAAGAUGGUUUUGCUAUCACUUAUAGAUGGACCCGCGCCGUAUUAGCUAGUUGGUGAGGUAACGGCUCACCAAGGCAACGAUACGUAGCCGACCUGAGAGGGUGAUCGGCCACACUGGAACUGAGACACGGUCCAGACUCCUACGGGAGGCAGCAGAG